UACGAGGGGUCCUAGCGUUGUUCGGAAUCAUUGGGCGUAAAGAGCUCGUAGGUGGCUUAGUAAGUCAGGUGUGAAAUCCCAGGGCUCAACCCUGGACGUGCACUUGAAACUGCAUAGCUUGAGUACGGUAGAGGUGAGUGGAAUUCCUGGUGUAGUGGUGAAAUACGUAGAUAUCAGGAGGAACAUCGGUGGCGAAGGCGGCUCACUGGACCAGUACUGACACUGAGGAGCGAAAGCAUGGGGAUCAAACAGG
rnacentral:rRNA from 1 species